rnacentral:lncRNA from 1 species
GCCCGUUGUGCUCCACUACUGCUGCGUCGCCCUCCCCCUUUACGCUCCACCUGUUCUCAUGCUCGUUGUCAUGCGAGGAUGAUGUGGAAGAGAGGUCUGAAGAAGGUGUGGAGGAUUUCAAGUUUUUAUUCUUUCUUAAGAAAAGAAUAGAGAGAGACGUUUACAGGUCACUUGAACGUUGUCCUGUUUUCUUUUUUUGUUCUAUUUUGUUUUGUUUCAACGUUUAAGUAUUCAUAACACCCUGGAAAAUGAGAGCUGUAUAUGACAGCAGGAACCCCAAGGUCAAGCGUCAUUCAUGAGUGCGUGUAUGACAAUUAGAAAGUCGUUCCGAGCGGGUGCACGUGAACUAUAAACAAAAAAAUAACUACGCAAAUUAUGCACCAAAUAAACAAAGCAACGGCAGUAGCAGUGAAAAGAUAACUUCGUAAAACAAACAAGCCAACAAAGAAGAAAAAGAAAGAAAAACAAAAAACAAAAACUGUAAUCACAACUGGAAAGAAAGAGACAGGAGGAACAAUAAAGAGAAAACAAUAAACGUGAAAAACACAUCCGUUGGUAUAUUUUGAGUUGUUUGUUUGUUUCUUUCUUUCUUUCACGCGUAUUGCAACUUUGUGACUUGUUGAUCCACGUGCUACACAGCUCUCGUGCGGAUCAAUCAUUAUUGACAUUUCACUACGUUGAACUAUGGAAAUGUGACUUUGGAAAAUCAUGAUCUUUUCCUGUUGCACAAAGAGACAAUAUUCAGUAUUUUCAUGGAUCAGCUUUAUGAAGAUUACGUCAUGCAAUUAUGAAAUCAUUUAAUAUAUCGCUAACGGAGGAGAAAUAAGUACAUCACUCUUCUUCAUCGUUAUACUUAUUUUCAAAGUUAUUAUCUUCAAAGUAUGUUUUUAGUUACGAAGAAAUGAAUAAACUCGCGGGUCUUAUGUUAAUCUCAAACCACUUCGCAAAGCAAUUUGUUUUAUUUGGAAAUACUGGCAACACUUCACCUUGAGCACUUUCUUGUAAUUAUGAAUCCAAGGAAUAAAAUGAUCGAGAAAUAUCUGGUCCGGGUGUGAUUUCGAAAACUUUUGUGCAAUUUGUCAAGAGUCAAAAAAAAAAAAAAAAAAAAAAAAAAAAAGAAAAAAAAAGGUUAAAGAGAAAUUAAGAGAAAACAAUUGCAAAUAAAAUCAUGCCGUGAUUUAUUGUACUUUGAACUGAGAUCUUGACAGUAAUAACGAUAAUGGGAGUUUGAAAUGGAAAAGAAUAAAUCGUUUAUUCAAGCAUGAGACGAAGUACGGAAUUAUAAACAAAAUUUGGAGGCGUUGAUUAAAGAAACAAGUUCUGGUUUUCAAUAUAAUUUUUGUUCAAAGAAAAGUCUGCAGAAGAGAAAGAGAAGGGUAGAAAAAGCACGAGAGAAAGAGAAAGAAAAAGAAAACCACAAGAUACGUUUCCAGUGACAUAUGAAAAUAAAUCUCAUACCUUUAUUACAUUCAAACCAUCUAAGUCACCGCAGACUUCAAAAGAACAACAACAACAACAACAACAAAAAUAAAUAAAUAAAGGCAGAGACAAAGAACGCCCGAGCGAGCCCCUGAGAAGUAUCUCAGAUAAAAGAUAUUGGUUACUUAAAAGGAGUUUCCAGAACCAUAUCCUGAAUCAGUGGGACACAAGCAGUAUAAGCGAACAGCUUCAUUCGGGUCGGAAGGGGAUGAGGCUGACGUGUUCGUUUGGUUUGUUAUGAAGAUGUGCAUCUUCUUCACUCCAACGGAACCAGGAUUACUUUCCCUGCCCCAUGUCAUCACACAAGCAGAUCUACUUCGAGCAGUGGUGAAUAGUGACUAGAAGGAAUUCACUAUGACGAUAUCAAGCCUUCCUGAAAAUGAGACUCUUACUAACUUGGUGGAGUCCGACCUCAACGUCUCCGGUCUCGAAGAAGGGGCUCUGCUCACGGGCGGACUCUCUGACUUCGAGGUCGCGAUGCCCGUGUGGGAGAUCGUGGUGACCGUGGUCUCCCUCAGCGUCAUCAUCAUCUUCACCAUCAUCGGCAACGUCCUCG